rnacentral:rRNA from 1 species
UUGGAGGGCAAGUCUGGUGCCAGCAGCCGCGGUAAUUCCAGCUCCAAUAGCGUAUAUUAAAGUUGUUGCAGUUAAAAAGCUCGUAGUUGAAUUUCGGGAUUGACGUGAUGGUCAUGCCUUAAGGGGUAUGGACUGUUGCUGUUGAUUUCUCACCUUCUGGAGAAACUUGAUGUCCUUAAUUGGGUGUCUUGCGGAUCCAGGACCUUUACCUUGAAAAAAUUAGAGUGUUUAAAGCAGGCAUUUUUGCUCGAAUACAUUAGCAUGGAAUAAUAGAAUAGGACGGCAUGGUUCUAUUUUGUUGGUUUCUAGGAUCACCGUAAUGAUUAAUAGGGAUAGUUGGGGGCAUUAGUAUUCAAUUGUCAGAGGUGAAAUUCUUGGAUUUAUUGAAGACUAACUACUGCGAAGGCAUUUGCCAAGGAUGUUUUCAUUAAUCAAGAACGAAAGUUAGGGGAUCGAAGACGAUCAGAUACCGUCGUAGUCUUAACCAUAAACUAUGCCGACUAGGAAUCAGACGAUGUUAAUUUUUUAAUGACUCGUUUGGCACCUUACGGGAAACCAAAAGUGUUUGGGUUC